CCUACGGGAGGCAGCAGUGGGGAAUUUUCCGCAAUGGGCGAAAGCCUGCACGGAGCAACGCCGCGUGAGGGAUGAAGGCCUCUGGGCUGUAAACCUCUUUUAUCAAGGAAGAAGAUCUGACGGUACUUGAUGAAUAAGCCACGGCUAAUUCCGUGCCAGCAGCCGCGGUAAUACGGGAGCGGCAAGCGUUAUCCGGAAUUAUUGGGCGUAAAGCGUCCGCAGGCGGCCCUUCAAGUCUGCCGUUAAAAAGUGGAGCUUAACUCCAUCAUGGCAGUGGAAACUGUUGGGCUUGAGUGUGGUAGGGGCAGAGGGAAUUCCCGGUGUAGCGGUGAAAUGCGUAGAUAUCGGGAAGAACACCAGUGGCGAAGGCGCUCUGCUGGGCCAUCACUGACGCUCAUGGACGAAAGCCAGGGGAGCGAAAGGGAUUAGAUACCCCUGUAGUCCUGGCCGUAAACGAUGAACACUAGGUGUCGGGGGAAUCGACCCCCUCGGUGUCGUAGCCAACGCGUUAAGUGUUCCGCCUGGGGAGUACGCACGCAAGUGUGAAACUCAAAGGAAUUGACGG
rnacentral:rRNA from 1 species